rnacentral:rRNA from 1 species
GACGAACCGUCCUAACGUUGUUCGGAAUCACUGGGCUUAAAGGGCGCGUAGGCGGCUUGCCAAGUCAGGGGUGAAAUCCUGCAGCUUAACUGUAGAAGGGCCUUUGAUACUGGCGAGCUCGAGGGAGGUAGGGGUAUGUGGAACUUCCAGUGGAGCGGUGAAAUGCGUUGAUAUCGGAAGGAACGCCGGUGGCGAAAGCGACGUACUGGACCUCUUCUGACGCUGAGGCGCGAAAGCUAGGGGAGCAAACGGG